GAGAGAGAGAGAGAAUGAGAGAGAAAUUGAAAAAUAGAGAGAGAGAGAGAGAGAGAGAGAGAGAGAGAAACUUUGCGUACCGCACUAGAUACCGUACUGCAAUUGUGCUGUGCUAUUGUACAUAGUAGUGAGUGGGAAAGAGCGAGAGAGACUUUCGCGAUUCAGGAAGGCGGUGAUGGAAGAGGAAUGAAGAGGAACCAAGUUCCAGGGCGGAAGAGGCUAGUUUUCGCGUUUUCCGAUUGCACGCCAGCCAUUCCUCUUAUUUUGCGUUUAAUGGAGGUUUGGUUAACUGCGUGUGAUUUUGCCAUGUGAUUUUGUAGGGAUCCAUUGCAAGAAACGUUGCAUCCUUUUUGCUUCGCGAGAUUUUUAAAAUCCUCGAGGCAGUGGGAAAUUGUACGAAAAUUUAUUUAAUGAUAUUUAAGGGUUUGGAAAGGAAAAAGGGUAAUAUAUUUAGUCCUCUAAUUAAAUCGAGUGUGCAACGAUUCGUGUGCAAAGAUUCCACCGCGUAAUAAACGAUUCUGUACUAGUCUAUACAACUAUUUCUUGAUUAACAGCGUGCGAAUUGUAGCGAAAUUAGAAAAAAGCGACAUUUUGCCCCACGUUCUUUCGGUUCCUCGUGAUCGACGUUCAAUUUCUUUACCGUUUCCAUAGAGAAAGCUUCGACCCUGGUCAGCAUGCAACGAAACGAGGAAAAGCGAAUGAUAGAAUGCUACAGGGAUCUGGAAAUAGGGUUGAUCAUUAAUGAGUCACCGCGUAUGACGGAAAGGCGAGAGUUCUAGAAAACUAAUCGUACCAAAAAAUGAAAAAAUAACACAGAUAAAAUAAGAAGAAACGGAAGCGUGCGUCGCGGCCGUCGAUUAUAAGAUCAUAUAUAGUACAAAGUAAACAUAUAUUAUUGUAAUAACGGUUUAAUUAACUAUAAGGGGAGCGUCGCUGUUUCACAAACCAACUCUGAAGAAUGUUGCGCGAAAUCGUGAUACACGUGGACGAACGUUUGAUUCUCCGGGUAUCGAUCAAGUGCUAUUGUCUUUGGUAGCGUGUGCGCAUCAUCAGGCGUUGAAAGACCAGGAUGAUUGCGAAGGUUACAGUGGAUAGGAGCGUCGAAUUCUCAUGGAAGUUUCCUCGUCCGCCACGAUUUGUCGGACGUGACCACGACACCGCGAUCGAAAUUCUUGAGGUAGAAGAAUGUUGAAAGAGAAGGUAUUCGCGCGAACGAUGCGUCAAAAUUUAUGAAAUAAAACGUGAUUAGAUAUUGUUGAAUGUGAGCAGAACUGGAAAUGUCGUUCGAGAGACUUGGUUCGAUGCUAAGAAUCCUGAAUUACGAAAAAUAUUGAUUCAAUCCAUACAGUAGACAAUAAGAUACUAUUUAUAAAUGCUAAGGAUGAGACAGAAAUUAUGUAAAUGACGAGGUUUUACGAAAUUGAAAUUAUGGACUUGAUUAGAUGAACAAAAACAGAGGCACAUUUGUAACUACUGUUACAAUUGUUAACACGUAUUAAAAAUAAGGAAAAUGUAAAAGCAGGAAUUUUAAGAAAUGGAAAAUUCUGAACCAGCAAUAGUCGAUUUAAUAGUAAACAUAAAAAAACAACCAUCUUAGGAAAGAAACCAGAGAUCGAAGGAUUACAGAGGAUUAGGAACCAACUUUCUAGGCACGAAUUCACAAAGAAUACCUCACAAAGAAGCAGCUACCAAUAUCGAUCUUAAAGUGUCAUGAAAUCCAGUAUAAACCCAGAAUUGUAAAGAAAUGGUGUCGCAUCGUUGAAAUAAAAGAACAUUCGCGUAGUUCGAGAACUCGGAAAUGGAGGCGAUGAGGAAAGUAACCGGAAGCGGAGGAGAGGAAAUCGCAAUUGUAAGAUUGUUGUGGCUCACUCGGGGGCGGUAUAUGUAGGAAAAUUUUAGGGACACGGAUGGGGAUCACGGGAAGGGGGUGAAAGAAGGUGAUAAGGCAACUGUCUGUACGAUAAAUCUGUAAAUACGAGUUUAAUUGCGGUUAUUAAUUAAUUGUACUCGCAAUUGCGAACAAUGAACAUUAUUACUAUUAUUAUUAUUAUUAUUAUUAUCACGAGAAUCAUCAUUGGCAUUACCAUUAUCAUCUUCGUCACUGUCAUUAUUAUUGCUAUUACUAUUAUCAUAAUUAUUAUAAUUAUUUAUAUUACUUUCAUUCCUAUUAUUACUAUUGCGAUUUUUAUCACUGUAACGAAAGACAGAUAUAAUUGAUUAUUAAUAUAAAUGUAUCGUAAACGCAUUCUUUGUUGAACAAGAUGUGUGUGAAAGGGAAAGGGAAGGCGUGAGAAUGAGAGCGAGACUGAGAGAGAUGAGAGAGAGAGAGAGAGAGAGAGAGAGAGAGAGAGAGAGAGAGAAAGAGGUAAUUUGUAAAUGAUGGAAUCGAAGUUUCCCGUAGGAUCGUGUGGAUCGAUCCGUCGGGGGGAUCGACGAGAGGCUAGUUUUUUCUUGUAAGUGACCAGUUUGUUAGCAUCCGCUCGUCGAUCGACCGAUCCAGAGAUCGAGAAUCCAACGAAAUCGAUGCUACCAUAAUUGUUAAACAAACUUGCGAAACGUUCGAUCUUUUCAUUUGCUAUUGAUUAAUGAAUAUAGAGAAAAUAGACGAAAGAAAUAGCAGACAACGCGAAAAAGGGGGGGAAUGGAGAUCGAACGAUCGAGCGGGAAAUUCGAUUGCAGCAUGCGAAAACGUGUAACUAUGUAAUAGAGACACACAAGUUCUGGCGGGUCGGAGGGCGAUUGUAAACUACUGUAAACUACGAUGUUACUACGUUUUACCAAGAGCUUAUUGUAGUCGAGAACCAUUUAAAGAGAAAAAGAGAAAAGUACCGUACACACAGUGAUACAGGGACAUAAGUACACGCAUACACAGACAUAGAAGGAUGGGAAAAAAUGGAGGAAAGAGGUAAAAAAAACCAUAUAUCGAGGCGAGAGUCAAACCAAUCCAAACCAAACCAAAUAAACCAAAACAAACAAGAUAAUGAUAAAAAACACAAAAAAAAAAAAAAUAAAAAAAAUGGUAAUUGAGUGUAGCACGAAAAAGAAACUUCUUUACACUUUUGCACGAGACG